rnacentral:rRNA from 1 species
GAUGAACGCUGGCGGCGUGCCUAAUACAUGCAAGUCGAACGCAUAGCGAAAGGUGCUUGCACCUUUCAAGUGAGUGGCGACCGGGUGAGUAACCCGUGGACACCCUGCUUCAAGGCUGGGGAUAACAUUUGGAAACAGAUGCUAAUACCGAAUAAAACUUAGUGUCGCAUGACAAAAAGUUAAAAGGCGCUUUGGCGUCACCUAGAGAUGGAUCCGCGGUGCAUUAGUUAGUUGGUGGGGUAAAGGCCUACCAAGACAAUGAUGCAUAGCCGAGUUGAGAGACUGAUCGGCCACAUUGGAACUGAGACACGGCCCAAACUCCUACGGGAGGCUGCAGUAGGGAAUCUUCCACAAUGGGCGAAAGCCUGAUGGAGCAACGCCGCGUGUGUGAUGAAGGCUUUCGGGUCGUAAAGCACUGUUGUAUGGGAAGAACAGCUAUAAUAGGAAAUGAUUUUAGUUUGACGGUACCAUACCAGAAAGGGACGGCUAAAUACGUG